AAGCGCAGGCCACAUGCACGGACGCCGUCACCAUACUCGUUCCCCCUCUCUCCCUACCCGUCAGCAGUGCUGCAACGCCGCAGCCACAAUCUUUCCCCUCUUCCUUACCCGUCUCCAUUCCUGUCCACGCGCCGUGUCCCCGAUGCGCAGUUUUUGAACACAUCGACCAGUGUGUGGACCGUGUUGGCUAUAUCUAAGGGUGAAUGCAAGGUGGAUAAAAUAGUGAAUGUCACAACGAGAAGAGCUUUGUUUCGCAGAAGUUAUGUCGAAGACAAUAAAAGCAACAAUACCCUAAAAAUUAGAGGUAAAUUUUUGAAUCGGACGCGGAAGCCUGGCCCGAAUAGUAUGAAUCUCUCUUCAAAUCACGUACCUUUGGGAAUAGAACUAUUAGUGAAGGAAGAUGCGAAAGAAACGUGCGGUAUAUUUCUCACAGCACCUGUGGAAUCACGUGGAGGUAAGUA